CGCGUAGGUGGUUUGAUAAGGGUGUGGUGAAAGUCCGGGGCUCAACCCCGGAUCUGCCGUGCCGACUGUCAAACUCGAGGGCUGUAGAGGCAGGCGGAAUUCCGGGUGUAGCGGUGGAAUGCGUAGAGAUCCGGAGGAAGACCGGUGGCGAAGGCGGUCUGCUGGGCAGUUUCUGACACUGAUGCGCGACAGCGUGGGGAGCAAACA
rnacentral:rRNA from 1 species